rnacentral:rRNA from 1 species
UACGUAGGGUCCGAGCGUUGUCCGGAAUUAUUGGGCGUAAAGGGCUCGUAGGCGGUUUGUCACGUCGGGAGUGAAAACUCAGGGCUCAACCCUGAGCGUGCUUUCGAUACGGGCAGACUAGAGGUAUUCAGGGGAGAACGGAAUUCCUGGUGUAGCGGUGGAAUGCGCAGAUAUCAGGAGGAACACCGGUGGCGAAGGCGGUUCUCUGGGAAUUACCUGACGCUGAGGAGCGAAAGCAUGGGGAGCGAACAGG